rnacentral:lncRNA from 1 species
AGCAGCGCAGGGAGCAGCGGGAGUCCAGCCGGAGGCUUUUCAACAGGUGAUGCUGUCCAAACCCGACUGACUGCGGAUCCGCGAAACACGAAUGGAUCCCUAUUUAAGACGGAGCUGGAGAAGGCUUUUUCACUUAUUAUCUUUGUAUUUUGUCCUAAUAUAUCAAGCGCAUCUGUCCUGGGGUGUUGAGAGAGUGAACCUUUCUAACAGGGAGGAAUUUAAUAACAGCGGGAGCAGCAGGAUAAAGCAGCAGAAAUGGGACACCGCUUCCCAGGGAGGGCAGGACCUCCAGACAGGAGCUGCUGCGUUAGAAGCCAACAUGUCUUCCUCCAGUCAUUCACCGGUCAGCAGGACUGCUGCGUCCAACCUGACGUCCAACCCCGUGUCCUCCAGCACAGAGAGGACACCGACCUCCUCAUGGACCGUCAGCUCUGACCAAUCAUCCACAACCACAGCAACAUCCAGUCAAACACCAGCAAGAACAGAAACAUCCAGCCAAUCACCAAGCAGCACAGAACAAGACAGCCAAUCACCAGGCAGUACAGCACCAGCCAGCCAAUCAGCAACCAAGACAGCACAAUCCAACCAAUCACAAACCAGCCCAGGAUCAGCUAGCCAAUCGCAAGGAAGCACGACACAAACCAGCCAAUCAUCAGGACGCACAACACAAACCAGCCAAUCUCCAACCACUACAGCACAAACCAGCCAAUUAACCAGCAGUUCAACACAAAGUAGCCGAUCUUCAACCAUCACAACACCAGAUAGCCCAACAUCAUAUAGCCCAGCAACAUCCAGUCAAUCACCAUCUAUCACAGCAUCAGCCAGCCAAUCAACAGGCAGCACAACACACACCAGCCAAUCACCAGAACGUACAACACACACCAGCAAAUCACCUGAGCGCACAACACAAACCAGUCAAUCAUCAGGACGUAUAACACAAACUAGCCAAUCUCGAACCACCACAAAACAAGUCAGCCAACCAUCAGCUAGCCCAGUACAAGCUAACCAAUCGCAAGCCAAUGAAGCACAAUCUGUUCAGUCGCCGACAAAUGCAGGACUUCCUAGCCAAUCACCAACCAUCACAGGUUCAGCCAGCCAAUCAACAAGUAGAACAACACCAUCCAGCCAUUCACCAACAAGCACACCAAAAUCCAGCCAAUCACCAACCAAUGUACAACCAAUGUAUAACCACUCACCACCCACAUUAAUAGCAGCUAAUCAAUCCAAAAACAGCUCAAAAACUUCACUCCACGUAUCAUCCAGUUUAACAUCACAUAUCCAGUCAAAUUCACCACCAUCUGACCAAUCCCUGACCAGUGCAGUACCAUCAAACCAAUCAUCAACUGGUUCAGUGUCACCAGCCAACUCAGUUAGUGGAGUCUUUUCACCAGAUGAGCAUCCAGUUAAUAUUUCACAGCUCACCAGGCAGGCGAAGGAAGCCUUGAAGUCAUCGCUUCGUAGGACUCCAGCGGAGCCAUGUGUGUUUCCCUGCCUGAACGGAGGACAGUGUGUUCAGUCUGAGUCAUGUGACUGCAGCUUGUAUCAGGCCAAUGGACACAGAUGUCAGACAGUUCCAAAUCCUGGCUUCGAGAGGGAGAUGACAUGCAGGACGUGGGGCCAGUACAACUUUGAGACCUUUGACGGCCUCUACUACCACUUCCCCGGUCGGUGCACAUACACUCUGCUGAGGGACUGUGAAGAAACCACCCAGGUCCACAACGACCCGGGCUGCAGCUCCGCCCCCUACACCUGCCAACGAUCCGUCAGCCUCUUCCUCCCGUGGGAGGGUGAGGUUCGGCUGCACGCCACCAAUGUGACCUUCAAAGGCCAAAGUUUGCAGCUGCCUCAUCACAUCCAUGACCUGCAGCUGGAGCACAUCUCACAGUACGUUCUGGUGACGCAGCAGCACGGCUUCACACUGGCCUGGGAGGGACGCAGCGGCUCCGUUUAUAUCAAACUCAGCCCUGAGUUUGUGGGCAGAACCUGCGGCCUGUGUGGGAACUUCAACGCAGACGUCCAGGAUGACCUGAAGACGAACAGAUUGCAAUCUGAUCAAUCCAAGAGUGUGCUGACUCAUGACAUAGAAAUGUUCGGGAAUAGCUGGGUGGAGGCGGAUCCACACGAGGCCCGAUGUCCCAUGGUGCCUUCUGACUUCCCCUCACCAUGUGCUGCAGUGGAAGCUCAUGUGUGUGCGAUGCUGCUGGAUCCCCCAUUUCAGAGCUGCCACGACUUCGUCAGCCCGCUGUCCUACAUGGCCAGCUGCUCCAACGACCUCUUGAAGCAGUGUUCCUUAGGUCUUCAGUACAGGGAAUGCAUCAGCUGCUGCCCAGCGUCAUGCAACCUGGAGCGAACAUGCAUCGACAGCAAGCUGGCCUGCCUGGACGGAUGCUACUGUCCCGAUGGUCUAAUCUACGAGGACGGAGGCUGUGUGACACCCUCUGACUGUCCCUGUGAGUACCAUGGCAUGUUUUAUCCGUCUGGACAGACUGAAAAUGAUCUCACUCUGUCCGCAGGCGAGUGCUCAGUGACCGGUGACAUGUAUUUUCAAUCUUUUGACGGACGGAUCUUCACCUUCCCCGCAACCUGUCAGUACGUCCUCGCCAAAAGUCGCAGCUCAGGGAAGUUCACGGUCACCAUCCAGAACGCCCCCUGUGGAGCGAAUUUGGAUGGGGCCUGCAUCCAAUCAGUUAACCUGGUUAUUGACGAGGAUCCAAGGACGGAGAUUACAUUGAUGUCAAUGUUCUCAUCCGCAGACAUCUUCCACAUCCAGGAGCUGUCGUCCAUGUUCCUCCAGGUGAAGACGGCAUUCGGCCUGCGUCUGCAGUACAGCUGGAAGGAGUUUCGACUCUACCUGCAGGCUGAGGAGCUGUGGAAGGAUGACACAGUGGGCCUGUGCGGCACCUUCAAUGGCAACAUUCAAGAUGACUUCCUGUCUCCGUCAGGUAUGAUAGAAAGCACUCCUCAGCUGUUUGGAAAUGCCUGGCGGGUCUCGUCAGCAUGUUCACCUAGCUUGAGUAUGCCUCAGCUCGACCCCUGUGACACACACCAGCAGGCCGUGGCCUAUGCCUCAGAGAUGUGUGACGUACUGAACCAGGAUCUGUUCUCUGCCUGCCACGAGUACCUCAGCCCGACAAGUUUCCACCAGCAGUGUCGCUCAGACACCUGUAAGUGCGGGACGCCUUGCCUCUGCUCUGCGCUGGCCCACUACGCUCACCACUGCCGCAGAUUCUCUGUCAUCAUUGACUUUCGAUCGCAGAUAUCGGACUGUGGGGUCGACUGUCCUGCCACCAUGCAGUAUGGCACCUGCGUGUCAUCCUGCCAGCGCCGUUGCUCCGCCCUCUCCGUCCCGCAGCACUGUGGGGAGGAGUGUGAGGAGGGCUGCGUCUGCCCUCUGGGAUCCUUCUACAACCACCGCACACACACCUGUGUGCACAGCGAGUGUCCCUGCAGUUUCCUUGGGGCAGAUUAUGAACCGGGAGAUGUGAUCAUGACGUCAGCAGUCUUCAUUAAUACAGCACCUUCCUCUUCUCCUCUUACAGACAGGCUGUGUCCAGCUGGUCAGCUCUACCAGAACUGCUCAGAGGGGGACGAUGGCCUCCUGUCUGGAAGGGGUGUGGCCUGCGAGCACACCUGUGAGUCCUACCUGCUCAACCUCACCUGCUCGACACAUGAGCCCUGCGUGGCUGGAUGUACCUGCCCUCCUGGCUUGUUAAAACAUGGAGACGAGUGCUUUGAACCUGCAUCCUGCCCCUGUCUAUGGAAAGGGAAGGAGUACUACCCCGGUGACAGAGUGUCCUCCCCCUGCCAUCAGUGUGUUUGCCAGCACGGGACGUUCCAGUGUGUAUUUCAUCCGUGUCCGUCAAUGUGCAUGGCUUACGGUGAUCGCCACUACAGGACAUUUGAUGGGCUGCUGUUUGACUACGUUGGUGCAUGCAAAGUCUAUCUUGUAAAGAGCAGCUCUGAUGUGAUGCUCAGUGUAGCAACCGAGAAUGUUGACUGUUUAGACAGCGGAGUCAUCUGCAGGAAAUCUCUCCUGAUCAACAUUGGAAGAUCAUUCGUAGCAUUCGAUGAUGACACUGGAAAGCCGAAUCCAUCCAGUGUGAUUGACAGGAAGCAGCGGAUGUUCAUCUGGCCAGCUGGAUACUUCACAGUGGUUCAUUUCCCAGAGGAAGAUGUCACCGUCCUUUGGGACCGUAAGACCACCGUCCACGUCCAGGUCGGACCUCGCUGGCAGGGAAAGCUAAGCGGCCUGUGUGGGAAUUUUGACAUGAAGACGGUGAACGAGAUGAGGACCCCCGACAACAUCGACUCCGCAACUCCACAGGAGUUUGGAAACAGCUGGACUGCAGCAGAGGUGAGUGAAAAUCCUGAUAUCAGACACCCCUGCAGCCUCAGUCCUCUCAGAGAGCCUUAUGCGAAGCGUCGGUGUGCCGUCCUGCUUGGGGAGGUCUUCCAGGCCUGCCACCCAGUGGUGGAUGUUACCUGGUUCUACAUGAAUUGUUUGGCAGACACGUGUGGUUGCAGUCGUGGAGGCGACUGUGAGUGUUUCUGCACCAGUGUGGCGGCAUACGCUCAACGCUGCUGCCACCAGGGUGUUCCUGUCGACUGGCGAGCUCCGUCUCUGUGCCGUAAGUCACAACAUAGGGAGCGAGAAACCUACUUUAUAGAAAGUAAAAUCUCUCGGGGCAACCUCAGCGCCACUGCCACCCCGAGAGUUCUCUCACAGGUUUCUUUCGAGGCAGCCGAGAGACCAAACUAUUUUCUGUACACGAGCCCCAGUGGUCAGGUGAGGCUGGCAAAGUGGGAGGACAGCGUGGCAUUCUGGGAUGGAGCCACCUUUGUCCUGCACAGGAACACCUGGAUCCCUGGCUACGACUCCCUGGAGUCCCACGCAAAACCCGGCUUCUUCCUGCACGCCACGCUGCCCCGCCUCCACCUGCUCAAAUACAGACACACUGACAGCCCGAGCCCAGAUGCCCCACCCGGUCCUCGGUGUCAGUGGAGGUACGAUUCCUGUGUCGUUCCCUGCUUCAAGACCUGCAGCGACCCGUCAGCUGAAGCCUGCAUCACCAUCCCACAAGUGGAAGGCUGCCUCCCUGUCUGCCCUCCACACAUGGUCCUGGAUGAGGUCACUCGUCGCUGUGUCUAUGUUGAAGACUGUAAGUUUCCCCUGAUUGAAACAGCAGGACCCCCGUCUCCUCCAACAGCGCCCCCUACUGUAAGGCCAGAGGUGUUGGAGCCGCUGUCUACUGUCAGAGUGACAGAAGCCCUGCCCACCAAGAUAGUCGAUGAGUGCACAAAGUACAUCUGUGUCAAUAGCCAGCUCGUCCUGUUCAACAAAUCACAGAGCUGUCCCUUCACCGCCGACCCUCCCAACUGCGGCUUGCUUGGCUUUGCCAUUCUGGUCAAUGGAGACAAGUGCUGCCCGAAGUGGGACUGUCCAUGUCGCUGCUCGAUGUUUCCAGAUCUAAAUGUGAUCACAUUUGAUGGGAACAGCGUUGCAGUCUACAAAGCUGCCUCAUACAUAGUGACCCAACUGCCCAAUGAGACCGUCAGUGUCCUGGUUCAAGAGUAUUACAGCUCAAAAUUGCUUCCUAACAUUAAUCUGAUCAAAUCUGAUGAUGUGCACUUUUUCAUUUUCUUUCAGCUCUAUGUCAAUUCACGGUACGCCAAACCUCGAUUUAAAAAGUUUGGAUUUGAGAUCUACGACACAGGCAACAUGUACCUGAUCCGCAGCCCGGCUGGUCUUAAGCUGCAGUGGUACCACAGUACCGGCAUGAUGGUGAUCGACACCGACAGCUCCAGCACCAAGCUCCACACCAAGGGCCUCUGUGGAUUCUGUGACGGAGACCCGACAAAUGACCUGACUUUGGCCAAUGGCACCACAGUGGGCGCAAGUGAGGAUCCGGCUAUUUUCAUCGACAGCUGGCAGGUUCCCAACACCACCAGCUACAUCAGCCACAGCCGCCGCAGAGAACGCAACUGCUCCACAAGCGACUGCUCCACCUGCCUGGUCAUGCUGCAGAACCCUGCCUUCACGCCCUGCCACGCCUUUGUCCCACCGAGCACAUUCUGUGAGGUUUGGGUACGAGAUGAAGAGUACGUCAACAACCAGUGUGUGGCGCUGGCUGCCUACGUGGCAUCUUGCCACAAAUUCAACAUCUGCAUUGAGUGGAGGCGUCCAGAUUACUGCCCCUUUGUGUGUUCCGACACUCUGCGGUAUCAGGCCUGUCUGCCGGCCUGCACGUCUCAGUCCUGCCCCAACCAUGACUUCGACUCUGACCCAGAUCAGUGUUCAGGCCUGACGGAGGGCUGCGUGUGCCCUGAGGGAACGCUCCUCCACCGGCCGUACUCCGCCCUCUGCAUCUCACCUGAGAAGUCUUGCACUGACAGCUCUGGUGCUCCCCGUGCACACGGCGAGGUUUGGAAAGCCUCAAAGGACGCCUGCUGCAUGUACCGCUGCGACAACGACACCAUCGUCCCAGUGGAGUACAACUGCUCCAACAUUGCGGAGCCAGUGUGCCAUCGAGUUGGGGAAGUGAUUAUCAGCCUGGCUGACGAUGCCAGCUGCUGCCCGCAGAGAGUCUGCGUGUGUAACCAGAGCUUGUGUGACCUGCUGCCUCCUGAGUGUAAAUAUGGGGAGAAGCUGGUGUCGUACUACAGACAGGACUCCUGCUGUCCCGACUAUGUGUGUGAGUGUGAUCCUGACCUCUGUGAAUCAGACGUUCCCUCCUGCAGAGACGACCAGACUCUGAUCGCCACCAGAGCUGAUGGCAGCUGCUGUCUCGCACACAUCUGCAUGUGUUCGUCCUGUCCGGUGUCGCCUCCUCUCUGCGUUGACGGCGAGGUGCUGACGGUGGACAGUAACACCACAGACCGCUGCUGCCCCACCUACCAGUGUGUGUGUGAGCCCUACAGGUGUCCCCAGCUUGGUUGUCCUGUUGGGAUGUCGGUGAUGUCUGUAUCAAGUCCGGGUCGCUGCUGUCCCAACCAAACAUGUGUGCGCGAGGCGGUGUGUGUGUUAGGCGAGCGAGGUGUGUUGCGGCCCGGACAGACGCUGGUGGAACACGAUGACGACGGCUUGUGUCACAGCAGGCAGUGCAGCCGCAGCCUCGACCUGGCGAGCGGCUUCCACCUGCUCCGCACCAGCAGCAUCAACUGCUCCGCCCACUGCCAACCAGUAAGACCACAGCACACACACCAGUACACUCAGACAGGGAGAACGGAGUCUACUUCAGAUCAGUCUACAUGCUGCGGUGUGUGUAAGAAUAUUUCCUGCCUCUAUGAACACGAGAACGGGACAACAGUUCUCUAUAAGCCUGGGAAGUCCUGGGUAUCAAACUGCAUGAAGUUCGACUGCACAGACACUCUAUCUGGACCCACGCUCAUCUCCUACACCUUCAGCUGCCCACCAUUCAACGAAACAGAGUGUAUGAAGAUCGGUGGAACUGUCGUAAGUUACAUGGAGGGAUGCUGUAAGACGUGCAAAGAAGAUGGGAAGUCAUGCCAGAAGGUGACGGUGAGGAUGACUAUAAGGAAGAACGACUGUCGAAGCAACAGACCGGUGAACAUCGUGUCAUGUGACGGGAAGUGUCCGUCUGCCAGCAUCUACAACUACAACAUCAACACGUACGCUCGCUUCUGCAAGUGCUGCAGGGAGACGGGGCUGCAGCGGCGCUCCGUACAGCUCUACUGCAGCGGUAACGCCACCUGGGUCAGCUACACCAUCCAGGAGCCCACCGACUGCUCCUGCCAGUGGUCCUGAACACACACACACACACACACACACACACACACAGUAUUCAGAUCUACAUCCUCUAAAACCACGAGAGAUAGAAGAAGAGGGAGAAGAAACCACAGCCAUGUUGCUAUAGGAUGCUGGGAGAGUGAAGUACUGAGCUGUGAUUUCCAGGGCUGAAUGACUUUUAUUAGUUAGAUGUCCCGGUGCCUCUGCUGGCUGGGAGGAGGUACUGCAUAGCAGCGAGGCAGGACUUACUCCUCCGCAGGCAGAAUCAAUCUAUAGGAGACCGUAAGGUGACCCUUGACAUCUGAUUUUCCCCUUCACACUGAAGCAGAUAGGGUGCGACAAAAUUAAGUGUGGCCCACUUGACACCACAUGAUGAGUUUUAUUAUAUAUGUCAUUUCAGAGAAUUGUGAUUUUGACAUUGACAUCUUUUUGUUUUUCAUACAUUCAUACAUGCCACAGUUUAGUAAGUAAACACCUUCGUGAUCUUUUUCAUAACUCUACAUAUGAAAUUCAUGGAUUGAAGAUGUGUAAAGAAGAACCAAACACCCAAAGAAAAAUAAAACAACAUCAACAAAAUAAACA